GAUAAGCCUGGGAAACUGGGUCUAAUACCGGAUAUGACCGUCUGACGCAUGUCAGGUGGUGGAAAGCUUUUGUGGUUUUGGAUGGACUCGCGGCCUAUCAGCUUGUUGGUGGGGUAAUGGCCUACCAAGGCGACGACGGGUAGCCGGCCUGAGAGGGUGACCGGCCACACUGGGACUGAGACACGGCCCAGACUCCUACGGGAGGCAGCAGUGGGGAAUAUUGCACAAUGGGCGCAAGCCUGAUGCAGCGACGCCGCGUGAGGGAUGACGGCCUUCGGGUUGUAAACCUCUUUCAGUAGGGAAGAAGCGAAAGUGACGGUACCUGCAGAAGAAGCGCCGGCUAACUACGUGCCAGCAGCCGCGGUAAUACGUAGGGCGCAAGCGUUAUCCGGAAUUAUUGGGCGUAAAGAGCUCGUAGGCGGUUUGUCGCGUCUGCUGUGAAAGACCGGGGCUCAACUCCGGUUCUGCAGUGGGUACGGGCAGACUAGAGUGCAGUAGGGGAGACUGGAAUUCCUGGUGUAGCGGUGAAAUGCGCAGAUAUCAGGAGGAACACCGAUGGCGAAGGCAGGUCUCUGGGCUGUAACUGACGCUGAGGAGCGA
rnacentral:rRNA from 1 species